rnacentral:rRNA from 1 species
UACAGAGGGGGCAAGCGUUGUUCGGAAUUACUGGGCGUAAAGGGCGCGUAGGCGGCCUGUUAAGUCGAACGUGAAAUCCCCGGGCUCAACCCGGGAACUGCGUCCGAUACUGGCAGGCUUGAAUUCGGGAGAGGGAUGCGGAAUUCCAGGUGUAGCGGUGAAAUGCGUAGAUAUCUGGAGGAACACCCGUGGCUAAGGCGGUUCUCUAGUACGGUACUGACGCUGAGACGCGAAAGCGUGGGGAGCGAACAGG